UACAGAGGUCCCAAGCGUUGUUCGGAUUCACUGGGCGUAAAGGGUGCGUAGGUGGUCCGUUAAGUCCGUUGUGAAAUCCCUGGGCUCAACCCAGGAAAUGCUUCGGAUACUGGCGGACUUGAGGCUAGUAGGGGUCACUGGAACUGACGGUGGAGCGGUGAAAUGCGUAGAUAUCGUCAGGAACGCCAAUGGUGAAGACAGGUGACUGGGCUAGUUCUGACACUGAGGCACGAAAGCGUGGGGAUCAAACGGG
rnacentral:rRNA from 1 species